GACGAACCGAGCGAACGUUGUUCGGAAUCACUGGGCUUAAAGGGCGCGUAGGCGGGCUGCCGCGUCCGGGGUGAAAUCCUCCCGCUCAACGGGAGAACGGCCUCGGAUACGGGCGGCCUCGAGGGGGGUAGGGGCAUCUGGAACUGUGGGUGGAGCGGUGAAAUGCGUUGAUAUCCACAGGAACUCCGGUGGCGAAGGCGAGGUGCUGGACCCCAUCUGACGCUGAGGCGCGAAAGCCAGGGGAGCAAACGGG
rnacentral:rRNA from 1 species